rnacentral:rRNA from 1 species
CACAUGCAAGUCGAGGGGCAGCAUAAUGGAUAGCAAUAUCUAUGGUGGCGACCGGCGCACGGGUGCGUAACGCGUAUGCAACCUACCUUUAACAGGGGGAUAACACUGAGAAAUUGGUACUAAUACCCCAUAAUAUCAUAGAAGGCAUCUUUUAUGGUUGAAAAUUCCGAUGGUUAGAGAUGGGCAUGCGUUGUAUUAGCUAGUUGGUGGGGUAACGGCUCACCAAGGCGACGAUGCAUAGGGGGACUGAGAGGUUAACCCCCCACACUGGUACUGAGACACGGACCAGACUCCUACGGGAGGCAGCAGUGAGGAAUAUUGGUCAAUGGACGCAAGUCUGAACCAGCCAUGCCGCGUGCAGGAUGACGGCUCUAUGAGUUGUAAACUGCUUUUGUACGAGGGUAAACGCAGAUACGUGUAUCUGUCUGAAAGUAUCGUACGAAUAAGGAUCGGCUAACUCCGUGCCAGCAGCCGCGGUAAUACGGAGGAUUCAAGCGUUAUCCGGAUUUAUUGGGUUUAAAGGGUGCGUAGGCGGUUUGAUAAGUUAGAGGUGAAAUUUCGGGGCUCAACCCUGAACGUGCCUCUAAUACUGUUGAGCUAGAGAGUAGUUGCGGUAGGCGGAAUGUAUGGUGUAGCGGUGAAAUGCUUAGAGAUCAUACAGAACACCGAUUGCGAAGGCAGCUUACCAAACUAUAUCUGACGUUGAGGCACGAAAGCGUGGGGAGCAAACAGGAUUAGAUACCCUGGUAGUCCACGCAGUAAACGAUGAUAACUCGUUGUCGGCGAUACACAGUCGGUGACUAAGCGAAAGCGAUAAGUUAUCCACCUGGGGAGUACGUUCGCAAGAAUGAAACUCAAAGGAAUUGACGGGGGCCCGCACAAGCGGAGGAACAUGUGGUUUAA